UACGUAGGGGACUAGCGUUGUCCGGAAUUACUGGGCGUAAAGGGCGCGCAGGCUGUUAUGCGAGUCUGCUGUGAAAUGUACCGGCUCAACCGGUGCCUUGCGGCGGAUACUGCAUGGCUUGAGUACUGGAGAGGGAAGCGGAAUUCCUAGUGUAGCGGUGAAAUGCGUAGAUAUUAGGAGGAACACCAGUGGCGAAGGCGGCUUUCUGGACUGUAACUGACGCUGAGGCACGAAAGCGUGGGGAGCAAACAGGAUUAGA
rnacentral:rRNA from 1 species